rnacentral:rRNA from 1 species
UUUAGUGGCGGACGGGUGAGUAACACGUUGGUACUUGCCCUCUAGUGGGGAAUAACUGCCCGAAAGGGUGGCUAAUACCGCAUGUGAUCUUCGGAUCAAAGCCUUCGGGCGCUAGAGGAGAGGCCUGCGUCCCAUUAGCUAGUUGGUAGGGUAAUGGCCUACCAAGGCGACGAUGGGUAGCUGGUUCGAGAGGAUGACCAGCCACACUGGGACUGAGAUACGGCCCAG